rnacentral:tRNA from 2 species
AAAAUCCGUUGGCUUGACCGUGAGGGUUCAAGUCCCUCUACCCCC